GAACAUUGAAAUGUGCAUGAAGAGCUUUUUAUUAUUAAAGAACUUGUUUGUUAGGCUGGAAUCUAGCUGGGUUAAGUUUUCUUAUAGCCUCAUGGAAAAAAACUUUUGGCUUCAGGCUAGGCCUAGGCUUGAAAUCUUUUUUCGAAAUUUUGUCCCGAGUCCAAGUCUAGACCAAAGCCUAAUUGAGUUGGCUUGGAUCUUGUUCCAAGCCUCUCUCUCUCAAGCGCAAAAAGAAAAAGAAAGCAACAAAGGGACGAGAGAGGGGAGAGAGUGAUUGAGAGUGAUUG
rnacentral:lncRNA from 1 species